AUUGAACGCUGGCGGCAGGCCUAACACAUGCAAGUCGAGCGGAUGAAGGGAGCUUGCUCCUGGAUUCAGCGGCGGACGGGUGAGUAAUGCCUAGGAAUCUGCCUGGUAGUGGGGGAUAACGUCCGGAAACGGGCGCUAAUACCGCAUAUGUCCUGAGGGAGAAAGUGGGGGAUCUUCGGACCUCACGCUAUCAGAUGAGCCUAGGUCGGAUUAGCUAGUUGGUGGGGUAAAGGCCUACCAAGGCGACGAUCCGUAACUGGUCUGAGAGGAUGAUCAGUCACACUGGAACUGAGACACGGUCCAGACUCCUACGGGAGGCAGCAGUGGGGAAUAUUGGUCAAUGGGCGAAAGCCUGAUCCAGCCAUGCCGCGUGUGUGAAGAAGGUCUUCGGAUUGUAAAGCACUUUAAGUUGGGAGGAAGGGCAGUAAGUUAAUACCUUGCUGUUUUGACGUUACCAACAGAAUAAGCACCGGCUAACUUCGUG
rnacentral:rRNA from 1 species